rnacentral:rRNA from 1 species
CUGCUGCCUCCCGUAGGAGUUUGGGCCGUGUCUCAGUCCCAAUGUGGCCGUUCACCCUCUCAGGCCGGCUACUGAUCGUUGCCUUGGUAGGCCAUUACCCCACCAACUGGCUAAUCAGACGCGGAACCAUCGUAUACCACCAGAGUUUUUCACACCGCUUCAUGCGAAGCUGUGCGCUUAUGCGGUAUUAGCACCUAUUUCUAAGUGUUAUCCCCCAGUAUACGGCAGGUUUUCCACGCGUUACUCACCCGUCCGCCA